rnacentral:tRNA from 1 species
GGCCUGGUGGUCUAGAGGUAUGAUUCUCGGUUCGGGUGCGAGAGGUCCCGGGUUCAAAUCCCGGCCAGGCCA